rnacentral:lncRNA from 1 species
GAACAACACCCACGUGCAGGUACCAAGCUCCUGCUGCACCUGAAUUCAAUUGAUGCAAAGAAGCUGAAUUUAAAAUAUGCUCCAGAACAAAGCAAGGCCAGCUGGAGGAUUUCCUGCAGGAGAAAGGAAAAGCCUGGGGAGGCAGUGGGCCGGAAUGCUGAGCUGUGACACAUUCCUGCUGGCUGAUUAUGAACCUUUCUGCAGCAAGAUCUGA